CAAUUCAGCAGUGUAAAAGGUACAUCCGCACGUUCAGGACUCAUGUGCGGAGAAUUCGCACUGAAAUCUGCAGGUGUUCGCAGGCAAAUCUGUGCGGUCAAUCCGCAUCAAUUGGAUGCGGAUUUUCCGCAUGCGGAUUU